GGUUCGGUGGUGUAGUGGUUAUCACAUCUGUCUCACACACAGAAGGUCCCCGGUUCGAGCCCGGGCCGAAGCA
rfam:Macrostomum lignano uti_cns_0005181, whole genome shotgun sequence.